GAAAACGACUGCUAAGACUGGAUAGGAGACAAGAAGGCAUCUUCUUGUUUUUAAAAGACCUAGCAAUAGGUAUGCUUAGGGAGGAGCUUGCGUCACAUUAGUUAGUUGGUGGGGUAAAGGCCUACCAAGACUAUGAUGUGUAGCCGGGCUGAGAGGUUGAACGGCCACAUUGGGACUGAGACACGGCCCAAACUCCUACGGGAGGCAGCAGUAGGGAAUUUUCGGCAAUGGAGGAAACUCUGACCGAGCAACGCCGCGUGAACGAUGAAGUAUUUCGGUACGUAAAGUUCUUUUAUUAGGGAAGAAUAAAUGAUGGAAAAAUCAUUCUGACGGUACCUAAUGAAUAAGCCCCGGCUAACUAUGUGCCAGCAGCCGCGGUAAUACAUAGGGGGCAAGCGUUAUCCGGAAUUAUUGGGCGUAAAGGGUGCGUAGGCGGUUAAAUAAGUUUAUGGUCUAAGUGCAAUGCUCAACAUUGUGAUGCUAUAAAAACUGUUUAGCUAGAGUAAGAUAGAGGCAAGUGGAAUUCCAUGUGUAGUGGUAAAAUGCGUAAAUAUAUGGAGGAACACCAGUAGCGAAGGCGGCUUGCUGGGUCUUUACUGACGCUGAGGCACGAAAGCGUGGGGAGCAAACAGGAUUAGAUACCCUGGUAGUCCACGCCGUAAACGAUGAGUACUAAACGUUGGGUAAAACCAGUGUUGAAGUUAACACAUUAAGUACUCCGCCUGAGUAGUACGUACGCAAGUAUGAAACUUAAAGGAAUUGACGGGACUCCGCACAAGCGGUGGAUCAUGUUGUUUAAUUCGAAGGUACCCGAAAAACCUCACCAGGUCUUGACAUGCUUCUGCAAAACUGUAGAAACACAGUGGAGGUUAUCAGUUGCACAGGUGGUGCAUGGUUGUCGUCAGCUCGUGUCGUGAGAUGUUGGGUUAAGUCCCGCAACGAGCGCAACCCUUAUUGUUAGUUACCAGCACGUAAUGGUGGGGACUUUAGCAAGACUGCCGGUGAUAAAUUGGAGGAAGGUGGGGACGACGUCAAAUCAUCAUGCCCCUUAUGACCUGGGCUACAAACGUGAUACAAUGGCUGUUACAAAGGGUAGCUGAAACGCAAGUUUUUGGCGAAUCUCAAAAAAACAGUCUCAGUUCGGAUUGAAGUCUGCAACUCGACUUCAUGAAGUUGGAAUCGCUAGUAAUCGCGAAUCAGCAUGUCGCGGUGAAUACGUUCGCGGGGUUUGUACACACCGCCCGUC
rnacentral:rRNA from 1 species